rnacentral:rRNA from 1 species
GACGUAGGAGGCGAGCGUUAUCCGGAUUCACUGGGCGUAAAGCGCGUGUAGGCGGUCCGGUAAGUCCGCUGUGAAAGUCGGGGGCUCAACCCUCGAAUGCCGGUGGAUACUGUCGGGCUAGAGUGCGGAAGAGGCGAGUGGAAUUCCUGGUGUAGCGGUGAAAUGCGCAGAUAUCAGGAGGAACACCAAUUGCGAAGGCAGCUCGCUGGGACGUUACUGACGCUGAGACGCGAAAGCGUGGGGAGCGAACAGG